rnacentral:rRNA from 1 species
UGGGGAAUUUUGCACAAUGGGGGAAACCCUGAUGCAGCGACGCCGCGGGAUUUAGAAGGCCUUCGGGUUGUAAAAAUCUUUUCUAUGGGAAGAAAAUGACAGUACCAUAGGAAUAAGGACCGGCUAAUUACGUGCCAGCAGCCGCGGUAAUACGUAAGGUCCGAGCGUUGUCCGGAAUCAUUGGGCGUAAAGGGUACGUAGGCGGGUAAGCAAGUUAGAAGUGAAAUCCUAUAGCUCAACUAUCGUAAGCUUUUAAAACUGCUCAUCUUGAGGUAUGGAAGGGAAAGUGGAAUUCCUAGUGUAGCGGUGAAAUGCGCAGAUAUUAGGAGGUAUACCCGUGGCGAAGGCGACUUUCUGGCCAUAAACUGACGCUGAGGUACGAAAGCGUGGGUAGCAAACAGG